GAUGAACGCUAGCGGCAGGCUUAAUACAUGCAAGUCAAGGGGGUAGCAAUACAACCGGCGCACGGGUGAGUAACGCGUACACAACAUACCAUAUACUGGGGUAUAGCUUUGGGAAACUGAAGGUAAUCCCCCAUAACAUUGCGAGAGGGCAUCUGAUUGCAAUUAAAGUUUCGGCGGUAUAUGAUUGGUGUGCGUUUGAUUAGCUAGUUGGUAGGGUAACGGCCUACCAAGGCGACGAUCAAUAGCUGGCGUGAGAGCGCGACCAGCCACACUGGAACUGAGACACGGUCCAGACUCCUACGGGAGGCAGCAGUAGGGGAAUAUUGGACAAUGGAGGAAACUCUGAUCCAGCCAUGCCGCGUGAUAGAUGAAGGCCCU
rnacentral:rRNA from 1 species